ACUCUAAUGAGACUGCCGGUGACAAACCGGAGGAAGGGUGGGGAGUGACGUCAAGUCCUCAUGGCCCUUAUGGGUAGGGCUUCACACGUCAUACAAUGGUCGGUACAGAGGGUUGCCAAGCCGCGAGGUGGAGCCAAUCCCUUAAAGCCGAUCGUAGUCCGGAUCGUAGUCUGCAACUCGACUACGUGAAGUCGGAAUCGCUAGUAAUCGCAGAUCAGCAUGCUGCGGUGAAUACGUUCCCGGGUCUU
rnacentral:rRNA from 1 species